UACAAUAGUAACACUUCUCGUUGGUGACCCUUGGCUGGAAGAAUAUGGACACCACAGGAACCCAAAAAGAAAAACAUUUCUUAGCAGUCGUGGGAAUGCAACAUACAAAUAUAAUCAUCAUAAACUGCUAACGCAAUCGUAAUUUUCUGGAUUGAGAAUUCAAACUGGCAGUCAGCUGCAGUCAGUAUUCACUUUAAGUUUCGAUAAGUUGUGAUAAUGAACCAAAGGCGCAUACAGUUUCGUACAAAUACGAUCAUAAACAGCUACAAAUUUUACAUGAAUAAUUAUAUCAUCUGACACUCACGUAUACUGACGGAAUAUAAAAAAAAAUACAUUCAUCAAUUCUUUCCACAACAUUUAAAGUUUCCAGAGGUUUCGACCAACAAUUCUCACUCCAUUUUUUACGAAGUGACUGGUUUUGUGGAAUUAAAGCAACAUUAAAUUUUGAAAUACUAAAAUACAUGUGGGGAUGAAGACACAGAAUUAUUGCAGGAACAAAAUCGAGGAUACCAGGGUAUUUUGUGCCGGGAUAGAAGGAUUGGGUCUUGAGGCAUACAACGGUGUCGUGUGUUAAACGAUUAUAUCAGUUCUAUUAUUGGAAUCAUCAUUUCAUUAUUAUCUUAGUAUAU